rnacentral:rRNA from 1 species
UACGAAGGGGGCUAGCGUUGUUCGGAAUUACUGGGCGUAAAGCGCGUGUAGGCGGUUGCCCAAGUCGGGUGUGAAAGCCUUGAGCUCAACUCAAGAAAUGCACUCGGUAUUGGGUGACUAGAGGACCGGAGAGGAUAGUGGAAUUCCCAGUGUAGUGGUGAAAUACGUAGAGAUUGGGAAGAACACCAGUGGCGAAGGCGGCUAUCUGGACGGUUUCUGACGCUAAGACGCGAAAGCGUGGGGAGCAAACAGG